GGGAAUGGGGGAGAGUAGGGAGGGAGGGGAGGAGGGGAGGAGCCUACUCCGGUGAGUAGAAGGCGGUGGGACGCUGGGAUCGUCCAGGCCUGGCUGCCUGGUGGGGAAAACGCUGCGCCAGCAUAGAACCGACGGAAGGGAGCGGAGCCAGUCAGCGGAACACUCGCGCGACACGAUCGGGUCGCUGAGCCCCCUCGAUCCUCAGGGCGCGAAGCCCUGGCCUAGGCCCCGCGGAGAUGUCCAGUUGCGGCGCUUGUACCUGCGGCGCUGCGGCCGCCCGGCUUCUCACCACUUCGCUCACCUCCGCGCAGAGAGGUAUUUCGUGUGGGCGAAUCCAUGUGCCAGUGUUAGGAAGACUGGGGACGACCUUGGACGCUCAGGCUCUGCGCAGAGCUCCUCUUAGAACCUUUUCAGAAACACCAGCAUACUUUGCCUCAAAAGACGGGGCAAACAAGGAUGGCUCCGGAGAUGGAAAUAAGAAAUCAGUGACUGAAGGAAGCAGUAAGAAAUCAGGCUCUGGGAAUUCUGGGAAAGGUGGAAACCAGCUUCGCUGUCCUAAAUGUGGUGAUUUGUGUACACACGUGGAGACCUUUGUGUCUUCCACGCGUUUUGUUAAGUGUGAAAAAUGUCAUCAUUUUUUUGUGGUGCUGUCGGAAGCAGACUCAAAGAAAAGCAUAAUUAAGGAACCCGAGUCCGCUGCAGAGGCUGUGAAGUUGGCAUUCCAGCAGAAGCCACCUCCGCCCCCCAAAAAGAUUUAUAACUACCUCGACAAGUAUGUUGUUGGCCAGUCGUUUGCUAAGAAAGUGCUUUCAGUUGCCGUGUAUAAUCAUUAUAAGAGAAUAUAUAAUAAUAUUCCAGCUAAUCUGAGACAGCAAGCAGAGGCUGAGAAGCAGACAUCACUAACACCUAGAGAGUUAGAAAUAAGAAGACGGGAGGAUGAGUACAGAUUUACAAAGUUGCUUCAGAUCGCUGGGAUCAGCCCACACGGCAAUGCCUUGGGAGCCUCUAUGCAGCAGCAGGUAAACCAGCAAAUGCCUCAGGAGAAAAGAGGAGGUGAAGUGUUGGACUCUUCUCAAGAUGAUAUAAAACUGGAAAAAAGUAAUAUUUUGCUGCUUGGACCAACUGGGUCAGGUAAAACCCUUCUGGCACAAACUUUAGCUAAAUGCCUUGAUGUUCCUUUUGCUAUCUGUGACUGUACAACUUUGACCCAGGCUGGAUAUGUAGGUGAAGAUAUUGAAUCUGUGAUUGCCAAACUACUCCAAGAUGCCAAUUACAAUGUAGAGAAAGCACAACAAGGAAUUGUCUUUCUGGAUGAAGUAGAUAAGAUUGGCAGUGUGCCAGGCAUUCAUCAAUUACGGGAUGUAGGUGGAGAAGGCGUUCAGCAAGUAAGCAGUUGAAUAUUUUGUUCAAGUCCACUAAAAGGAAGGGAAUACAUCAGCUUCCCAAGUAUUGGUUUAUUAAAACUUCUAGAAGGCACAAUAGUCAAUGUUCCAGAAAAGAAUUCUCGAAAACUACGUGGAGAGACAGUUCAAGUUGAUACAACAAAUGUCUUGUUUGUGGCAUCUGGUGCCUUUAAUGGCUUAGACAGAAUCAUCAGCAGGAGGAAAAAUGAAAAGUAUCUCGGCUUUGGAACACCAUCUAACCUGGGAAAGGGCAGAAGGGCUGCAGCUGCAGCGGAUCUUGCUAACCGAAGUGGGGAAUCUAACACUCAUCAGGACAUUGAGGAGAAAGACCGGUUACUCCGCCAUGUGGAAGCCAGAGAUCUUAUUGAGUUUGGCAUGAUACCAGAGUUUGUGGGACGGUUGCCUGUGGUGGUUCCUUUGCACAGCCUAGAUGAGAAGACACUUGUACAAAUACUGACCGAGCCACGGAAUGCUGUUAUUCCUCAGUAUCAGGCCUUGUUCAGCAUGGAUAAGUGUGAGCUGAAUGUUACUGAGGAUGCUCUGAAAGCCAUAGCGAGAUUGGCCCUGGAAAGAAAAACAGGUGCACGAGGCCUUCGGUCUAUAAUGGAAAAGCUGUUACUAGAACCAAUGUUCGAAGUUCCUAAUUCUGACAUUGUAUGUGUGGAAGUUGACAAAGAAGUAGUAGAAGGCAAAAAGGAACCAGGAUACAUUCGGGCACCCUCAAAAGAGUCCUCUGAAGAGGAAUAUGACUCUGGAGUGGAGGAGGAUGGAUGGCCUCGUCAAGCGGAUGCUGCAAACAGCUAAACCAUCAGACUCUCACCUGUACAUACAGCUUUCCCUGUUCUUUAGGGUCAUAACAGUUUCCGCAGUCUGGCAUUAAAGGCAUUGAAUCUAUCUCGGAUAUCAUACAUGGUCAAAAGCCUUUAAGAUAAGAAUCGGAUCAUGUAUAUUACUGUAACAUCACAUUGAUUUAUACAGAAGACAGUAUAUGGACUUUAAUGACACAAUGUUUAGAGAUAAAAAUGUACAUUAUUUUGGUUCUGUUUUUUAAAAAUAUACUUUAACAGAAUUCUUAGGAAUUCUCUUAAGCAAUGCAGAUGUUGCAAUAACUUUACAAUAAUGUUACUCUAAAGAUGAGAAAAUAAAAUCUUUAAAGUUGAGUACUGGGAUCCCAUUGUUUAGUGUUACCAUUUUCUACCCACAUUCCUUGGAAAUAUUUGAAUUUUCAUUUUAAAAAUUGGAUCAGGUAGUUUUUAGAUAAGUAAGAAUACCUUGAAAACCCACAUUUUGACGACAUGUUUAUAUUUCUGGUCUCUUCAGCUAGUGGAGAGGCAUUGGUUUCCCAGCUGGCACCAUUAGUAACAGAGGCAUUCCCUUGAUGACUUGUCUGACUUACUUGCAUCUCUGAACCAUUUUUUAUCACCAUCAGUGAGCAAAUGGGAUUAAUAAUCUGAUUUAAAUAUUUAGAAGGCCAUAGGCAACUAAUCUUACAGAGCUUGCUGUCAGCCAUGUGCUAGACUAAAUAAAAUAUCUUAUAGUGUGCACUUUU